rnacentral:rRNA from 1 species
UACGAAGGGUGCAAGCGUUAAUCGGAAUUACUGGGCGUAAAGCGUGCGCAGGCGGUUUUGUAAGUCAGAUGUGAAAUCCCCGGGCUCAACCUGGGAACUGCGUUUGAAACUACAAGGCUAGAGUGUAGCAGAGGGGGGUGGAAUUCCACGUGUAGCAGUGAAAUGCGUAGAGAUGUGGAGGAACACCGAUGGCGAAGGCAGCCCCCUGGGUUAACACUGACGCUCAGGCACGAAAGCGUGGGGAGCAAACAGG